rnacentral:tRNA from 1 species
GUUCAGGUAGUUUAAGAAGAAUGCGGCGGUGAAGUUGCUGGGGUAACUACGUGUUCCUGGACA